AUGGACCAUUCCAUCCCUUAGUCCUGUGGCUAUGCAUCAGACUCGGAUGACGAAGGUCCCGAUGAACAAGUUGAUGAGGAGGGGUUCACGGUGAAGGAGGCCGAAGCUUUUGAGAAGGUAUUCGGGCGAGAUCAUCGGACUACAUUGUUCAAGGAUGUUAGUCUCGCGGAUGAAGCCAUGGUAGAUGGUGGACAAGGUAUAUCUCUUGGUGUUAGGCCAAGAUCUCACCGCAAUCUGGAAGACGGCAAGAACAGGAUUGCUCGCGGGUCUAAGUUCGAAACCUUCUUGGAAUUGAAGAUGUGGCUCGACAACUACUCGGUUACGCAUUAUCAUCCACACAAGGUGGUGAACUCGGACGUCAAUGUGCGCUACACCAUUGCAUGUGAAGAUGAAAAAUGUUUGUGGAUUGUGCAUGCAAGACCAUGGAAAUGA
rnacentral:rRNA from 1 species